GGUGGUAGUUAUGGUGGUGGUGGUUGUGAUGGUGGUGGUGGUUGUGAUGAUCAUGGCUUUAGUUUUGGUUGUAUAGGUGGUUGUAGUGGUGGUGGAGGUUACAGGUGUGGUGUAGAUGGUUAUGUUGGUUGUCAUGGUAGUUGUGGCUCUGGUUGUGGUGCUUGUGGUGGUUUAGGUUGUGGUUAUAAUUGUGGUUGUGUAAUUUGUGGUUAUAUGUGCGGCUGUGGUGUUUGGUUAUAUUUGUUAUAAUUGUGUAGGUUGUGGUUGUAGUGGACAUAGUUGUGGUGGAGGUGGUUAUGAUGGUUGUUAUGGUAGUUGUAUUAUUUUGAACUUCAAUCGCACCCUACCCAGCCGACCGUGCUAAUUGGAGGUAUGAUUAUCGUUGCGGUUAUUUUAUGGUUUUGGUUUUAGUUGUGGUGGUGAUUGUGGUUGGUGCAGGUGCUGGGAUGAAGGAUGCGUUCCGUGUCCUCUGCCCAUGCGGCUCCAAAAACGAUUGCUCCAACCAGCACUGCCGCCCCUGUGGUCACAUGACCUUGCCUCCCAGCAUACCUUGCAGUCGUCAUUGAUUCUGGGCCAUCUUUACCUCCUGCAUCUCUAUAGGAGCUCUCGCUUCCUCCACACACUCUCCUCCUACCUCUGCUCUCUCUCCCCGUGUCUCCAUCCCCUCUCUUCUUUCUGGAUGGGCCAUGUUCAGGGGUCAGGAGUUGACUGGCUGCACUCUGACCUUUGACCUUGGCUGUCACCCGAGUGGGAUUAUCUAAUAGCAGUCAACCCAUAGUAUCAGGAUCUGUCCCGUGACCUCCUGCUGCACCUAGCCUGGCACAGCAGUAAACCCAUGGCACCUGGGUCUGUCCCAUGACCUCCUCCUCCUGCACCUAGUAUGGCACAGCACUCAACCCAUGGCACCUGGUUUGUUGUGAUGACAUUACCGCCACGUAGUGGCGAAUGGCGGCCAUUGUCGUUGUGAGUUUGUGGGCUUGUGAGUAAUGGUGAUUGCGUGUGUGACUAUCAUGUCGUGUCUGUGAGUUGGAUGGUAGGGGUGUGUUUAUGAGGGUGAGUGUAUGUGGAUGUGUGAGUAUCAUGGUGAGUAUGUGAGUGAUGGUAUGUGACAGUGUGAGUUUGAUGGUGAUUGUAUCAUGGUGAGUGCAAGCAAUACUGAGCUUGACUUAUUUCCCCCCCUCCCUUUACCCACUCUUCCUCCCUUUCCCUGUCUCCCCCCACUCUCCCCCACCCACUCUACCUCCCGCUCCUUCCCUGCCUCUCUAUCUCUCUUCUUUCUCCCAUAACUACCUCGCCUGUUAUACAGGUCGUGGGUUCGAUCCCUACCCUCACACCUGUAUAUUUCGAGUUUGCAUGUCUCUCUCUCUCCCCGUGGUCGCGUUCAGAGUGUUUGGUUUCUAUAAAUGUCGACGUGAUGAUAGGCCACUUCGUUGACCUAUCAUUUGUGGCAUUUUCCCUUCUGAAGAAGAGCUGUGUCGCUCGAUGGGCAUUACCUGGAAAAAUUGAAAUAGUUUAGUUUCCUCUUUUCCUCCUCCCUUCCUCCCUCUCCACACCCCCUCCCCCCCAGCACAACAACAAGAAGCAGGAGGAGGAUGGUUUGUCUCCCAAGCCGAGCACUUCCGGGUCCACCUUCAUGAUCCUCCCUCUGCCCCGGGGGUGGGGGCGGGGAGAUCCCCUCGCACAGGGUUACGCUGCUACUUCCGUUGAGGCCGGGGCGAGUGGAGGCGGCGCUGUGCAUUGUGGGUGGCGAGAGGCUGAUUUGGAUUCCCGCUCACGGCCACCGUCGGUGGCUCGUGGCGGCUCGCUGGCUGGGCCUCCUCUACGUCGACUCAGCCAGAAGAAGGUGGUGCAGGUUCAGGAGUUUACUGGCUGCACUCCGACCUUUGGCCUUGGCUGUCGCCCAAGUGGGAUUGUCGCACAGCAGUCAACCCAUAGCAUCAGUAUCUGUCCCAUGACCUCCUCCUGCACCUAGCCUGGCACAGCAGUCAACCCAUGUCACCUGGGUCUGUCCCGUGU